AUUGAACGCUGGCGGCAGGCUUAACACAUGCAAGUCGAGCGGAGAUGAGGUGCUUGCACCUUAUCUUAGCGGCGGACGGGUGAGUAAUGCUUAGGAAUCUGCCAUUUAGUGGGGGACAACAUUCCGAAAGGAAUGCUAAUACCGCAUACGUCCUACGGGAGAAAGCAGGGGAUCUUCGGACCUUGCGCUAAAUGAUGAGCCUAAGUCGGAUUAGCUAGUUGGUGGGGUAAAGGCCUACCAAGGCGACGAUCUGUAGCGGGUCUGAGAGGAUGAUCCGCCACACUGGGACUGAGACACGGCCCAGACUCCUACGGGAGGCAGCAGUGGGGAAUAUUGGACAAUGGGCGGAAGCCUGAUCCAGCCAUGCCGCGUGUGUGAAGAAGGCCUUUUGGUUGUAAAGCACUUUACGCGAGGAGGAGGCUACUAGUACUAAUACUACUGGAUAGUGGACGUUACUCGCAGAAUAAGCACCGGCUAACUCUGUGCCAGCAGCCGCCGUAAAAC
rnacentral:rRNA from 1 species